UAAGGGCCUGCCCACUGAUUUGUUGAAGGGCUGCAGUAUUUUGACUGUACAAAGGUAGCAUAAUCAUUAGUCUUUUAAUUGGGGACUGGUAUGAAAGGUUUGACGGAGGCUGACUGUCUCACUUACUAAAUAAUGAAUUUUAUUUUUAAGGAAAAGGGCUUAAAUUUUUCAAUGGGACGAGAAGACCCUAUUAAAUUUUACUAUUGAAUAAUUGAACUAUUGGUGUGAUAAGAUUUUUAAUUAUUAAAUAGUUUUACUGGGGCGGUAAGUAAAAAUCUUUAUUUAGGUUUAAUAUGUUGAUUAGCGUUAUAUUUGAUCCAUUAAGGGUGAUAUUAAGAAUAAAUUACUAUAGGGAUAACAGCGUAAUAUUUUUUGAGAGUUCAUAUUGACAAAAGUGUUUGCGACCUCGAUGUUGGAUUAAGAAGUCUUAUUGGUGCAGUAGUUGAUAUAGAAGGUCUGUUCGACCUUUAAAUUCUUACAUGAUCUGAGUUCAAACCGGA
rnacentral:rRNA from 1 species